rnacentral:misc_RNA from 1 species
AAAGUCCUCCGUGAACCUUCAUCCUGCUCUUGUAACCCGCGUAGUUCGCAAUCUCUGAUAAAUCAUAGCCCGGAAAGUUGUAGUGAUUCAGAGACCUCUAGUUACAAUCGAGCGGUAGUUCUAUAGGCAAUGUUUCCCCAAGCAGUCAGUGUCGGAAAGUGUCAUUGAUUGUGCAAGGAUAGCGCUUCUACGAUUCCUGUAGACCGUACACUCGGACAGGAGCUUUGCCAAAGGGUCCCCAUGCCCCCUAAUAACCCCACAGUUUAAUGUGAAGCUCAAUGUAAUACAUUGGGUAAAAAAACCGAACAACUGUUAACAAUGGAAAACUUGGAUCAC